rnacentral:rRNA from 1 species
UACGUAGGGGGCAAGCGUUGUCCGGAUUUAUUGGGCGUAAAGAGCGUGUAGGCGGCUUUACAGGUCCGUUGUGAAAACUCGAGGCUCAACCUCGAGACGCCGGUGGAAACCGUAAAGCUAGAGUCCGGAAGAGGAGAGUGGAAUUCCUGGUGUAGCGGUGAAAUGCGCAGGUAUCAGGAGGAACACCGGUGGCGAAGGCGGGUCUCUGGGCAGUAACUGACGCUGAGGAGCGAAAGCGUGGGGAGCGAA